rnacentral:lncRNA from 1 species
UAUUUACAUUUCUGGCUCUGACUAGUUUGGCCUGUGAUCUGCCCCUGGGUUUAACAACCUGGUUAUCUUCUUCCUCUUAAAACUUAAGGAUCUACUCAUGUAACAGUGGCAUCAAUGAUGACAGGAUGGGUCAGAGGUACCUGCUGUCAACACAAUAGGAUGAGAGGAGUUUAAAAAUCCAAGAGAAAAAGAUCCAGCUUCCCUGGGUCUUCCUCAAUCAUCGCUUCUUAUAAUAAAUCUAAAGAGAACACUGAGCCAUGUUAUUGGACACAGACAACCAGUUUUUAAGAAGCGAAGAGCUAUAAAUUGCUGCCUAAUUUUAUGGAAGCAUCUAUAAGGUUGACCGUCCUUUGGAGGACAAGCGAGAUGAGACCUCCACCUCCAGGAAAUGGCUGGUUUGAAUUUUAGGUCUAGAUUUCUCUUUCUCGGAGCUGAAUCUCCCUGAUUCUUAGCUGAUCUGCACCAAUGUGGAGCUUUCCCUCGCAGACCUGAAGCAUGGCUGUACAGAGGCUACAAGGCAGAACAGUAAGCAUGAAUGGGCAGCUCACAUCAACUCUGGCGGUACGCACUGAGGCAUACUGUAAAG